GAUUAAAAAAUGAAUUGUUUGUUUAUUCAAAAGGAGAAGAAACUUCCUUCUGGCAUUUUUGAGGUGAUAUCUGCACACACUAGCGCCCCUUUGCCUUCCGUCAUGAGUAGAAGCAGUCCAAGGCCUUCACCACAUUCCCUAUCUUGAACCUUCCAGCAAGAAGAAUCAUGAACCGAAUAAACUGCUUUUCUUUAUAAACUAUUCAGCUUUAUGUAUUCCCUUACAGCAACACGAAAUGGACUAAGACGAAUUGAUAAAGAAAAUGUGAUAUCUAUACAUCUCUCUAUCUAUAAAGAUAAGAUACCAAUUACAAUGGAAUAUUGUUCAGUCAUAAAAAGAUGAAGAUUCUGGAAUCUCAGAUGUCAGGGAUGAAUCUGGAGGAAAUUAUGCAAACAGAAAUAAGCUAGACACAGAAAGACAAAUACUAUAUAAUCUCACUUAUAUGUAGAAUCUGAAAAAGUUGAACUCAGAAGCAGAGACUCAGUAGUAAUUGCCAGGGGCUGGGAGCAGGAAGAAGAGAAUUGAAAGAAGGAAAAGGGAGAUGUUGGUCAAAGAGACAAACAUUCAGUUACAAGAUGAAUAAGUUCUGGAGAUCUAAUAUAUAGCAUGGUAACUAUCAUUAAUAAUACCAUAUUUGUAUAUUGUAUACUUGAAAUUUGCUGAAAGUAAAUCUCAAGGGUUCUCAACAAAUACAUACCAAAAAAAUGAUUACCUUAGAUUACUAUGUAAGAUGAUGGAUGUGUUAGCUAGUUUGAUUUUGGUAAUUAUUUCACAAUAUAUAUGUAUAUCAGGUCAUAUUAUUCACCUUAAAUAUAUACCACUUUGUAUGUUGAUUACCUCAAUAAAGCUGGGGGGUGGGGAAAUAUUUGAAAAAU